rnacentral:rRNA from 1 species
AGAGUUUGAUCCUGGCUCAGGACGAACGCUGGCGGCGUGCUUAACACAUGCAAGUCGAACGGAAAGGCCUAAGCUUGCUUGGGUACUCGAGUGGCGAACGGGUGAGUAACACGUGAGUGAUCUGCCCUCAACUUCGGGAUAAGCCUGGGAAACUGGGUCUAAUACUGGAUAGGACCAUCCUUUAGUGUGUGAUGGUGGAAAGUUUUUUCGGUUGGGGAUGAGCUCGCGGCCUAUCAGCUUGUUGGUGGGGUAAUGGCCUACCAAGGCGUCGACGGGUAGCCGGCCUGAGAGGGUGUACGGCCACAUUGGGACUGAGACACGGCCCAGACUCCUACGGGAGGCAGCAGUGGGGAAUAUUGCACAAUGGGCGGAAGCCUGAUGCAGCGACGCCGCGUGAGGGAUGACGGCCUUCGGGUUGUAAACCUCUUUCGACAGGGACGAAGCUUUUGUGACGGUACCUGUAUAAGAAGCACCGGCUAACUACGUGCCAGCAGCCGCGGUAAUACGUAGGGUGCGAGCGUUGUCCGGAAUUACUGGGCGUAAAGAGCUCGUAGGUGGUUUGUCGCGUCGUCUGUGAAAUUCCGGGGCUUAACUCCGGGCGUGCAGGCGAUACGGGCAUAACUUGAGUGCUGUAGGGGAGACUGGAAUUCCUGGUGUAGCGGUGGAAUGCGCAGAUAUCAGGAGGAACACCGAUGGCGAAGGCAGGUCUCUGGGCUGUAACUGACGCUGAGAAGCGAAAGCAUGGGGAGCGAACAGGAUUAGAUACCCUGGUAGUCCAUGCCGUAAACGUUGGGCACUAGGUGUGGGGGACAUUCCACGUUUUCCGCGCCGUAGCUAACGCAUUAAGUGCCCCGCCUGGGGAGUACGGCCGCAAGGCUA